GGGGCCGUGGUGCAGUUGGGAGCACGCUUGCAUGGCAUGCAAGAGGUCGAGGGUUCAAAUCCCUCCGGCUCCA
rnacentral:tRNA from 1 species